rnacentral:tRNA from 1 species
GGAACCGCAGCUCAACAGGCAGAGCGUCUGGUUGAAGCCCAGAAGACGCUGGUUCGACCCCAGCCGGUUCCACCA